UACAGAGGUCUCAAGCGUUGUUCGGAUUCAUUGGGCGUAAAGGGUGCGUAGGUGGCGCUGUAAGUCGGGUGUGAAAGCCCCGGGCUCAACCUGGGAAUUGCAUUCGAGACUGCAUUGCUGGAGUACGGAAGAGGAAGGCGGAAUUCCCGGUGUAGCGGUGAAAUGCGUAGAUAUCGGGAGGAACAUCAGUGGCGAAGGCGGCCUUCUGGUCCAGUACUGACACUCAAGUGCGAAAGCGUGGGGAGCAAACAGG
rnacentral:rRNA from 1 species